rnacentral:lncRNA from 1 species
AAAGCAGGAUCAAACUGAUACUGAAAUACGCAUACAUGUGUUGGCAGGCAUUUCUUAAGGAGGACUGCAGCCCAUGGGACUUGGACUUCAAACAACAAAUGUGCAGAGCUCACAUGAACUUGAAGCUGCCCUUUUAUUUGUGACAUCCAUAAACAUUUAUGAUGCUUGGUUUUCAUCCCAAUCUGCUUCUGAAAGUAAGAUGAGGUCUCCUCAGGAUGAGGUCUCAGCAUUUUGAGUUGAAUUCCUGAGAUCACAGGAAAAGGCUUUGGCUUUGUUUCUGACAUAGUAAAAUCAACUGAGUCAGUGGAGCUAUCUGUGAAGAAAACUGGAAUUGGCUGGGCAGUUGGACUACUAUGAUGUGGCUGUUGUUGAUAUGGUAAAGCAUCUCUUCAGCAGAACCACGCGCUUCAGUGAAAUCCAGUGAAACAAAAGGAAGAUUGUUACCAAAAAUGUCUAUAGAAAGCCAUGCCAUAUGGUCUUCAGCAUUUUAGCGGGUGAGUGGAAAGAAGAGAAGCUCAGGCAGAAGCAUGCUGAACAUAUUUAAAAGACUGUUGACCUGAAAAAGCAGAAAUGGAAAAGAUCUGUUUUCUCUCCUGAAUAACUUAUGUGGUCUGUUUUUAAUUGCCUUGUAUGUUCUAGAAUCUUAUAGAAUGAGAAUUAAAUAUUUUUUUUCUUUUCCUUUUUUUCCAGGAGAGCAUAUUUAAAAUAACUAGCUUAUAUUCCCUCAGCUCUCCUUUAUAAAAGAUAUUUAUAUUCCUUGUGUUUGAUCUUUUCCAAUCUCUUU